rnacentral:lncRNA from 1 species
CCUGGAUGCAGGUUCCUGUGGGCAGAGGGCCACCUCCUAAGAAUGAAAAGCGGGGAGGCUGCAUCUGUCUGGAACUGUUGGGACCCAGACACAGACUCAGAAGCUGGUAACAUUGUUUGCCUUUGGGGAGGGACCUGCUGGACAAGGAUAAAGGGAGAACUUGAUACUGUUUAACUUUUUAACCUUCGAUUCGGAAGCAUGUAAACCUAUUAACUUUUCUAAAAGUAGUUUUAAAUUUGCCAACAUUUUAUUAUGAAAAUUUCAAACGUACAGAAAAGUUGAAGGAAUUUCACUGAAUGACAUACCCACUGCUAAGAAUUACUGUUACCAUUUUGCCACACCGACUUUAUCUCAUAAAUAUUAAAUUUUUAAAAGAAAAAUUAAUUGAUCUCUAAGGCCUAGGCAAGGCACUUUAUUAGUAGAUCUUGAUUUUCUCUCUGUCACAUGAGACGCGUGGGGUAAUAGGCCUGUUAUUCUCUAUCACCACAGCUAAUCUGUGCGGCACAGCUGUCGGCUGUCUUGCCCUUAUUUCAUAAGCAUCUCCUGGGGUGGCUCCCUGGUUUAAAACUGUUCCCUCUUUGAGAACAGCCCCCUGUCAGACGUGUGUGAGUCCCGAGUGGCCACAUGGGUACUACGUGGCCUUGCCCCCUGGGACGAGUGGUGCGGAGAUGGAAGAGCAGACAUCCUUGCUGCUCACUGGCAUUCUGAUUCUCCUCUCCUCCAGGCCACAGCGGAGGACUGCACUUCCUGCCUCUUGAAGUUAGCUGGGGCCGGGUGACUGGCUUUGGCCAAUGAAAAGUAACUGGAAGUAAGGCGCGUCCCUUCUAUGGGAAAGAAUUUAAGAGCCAAUGUGGUAUUCUCCACGCCCUGUGUUCCCCUGGUGCACCAACCAAUGAGAGCCCGUGUUCCAGAUGGCGCAGCCACAGGGUGGGGGAGCCUCCCUCAGCCCGCUUCGUUGAGUUGCUACGAGGAGACCAGUUGUCCUGGAGAUCUCAGUGGUCCACAUAUCCUUUGAAUAGAAUUUCACCUGAAGCAUGUUCAGAUCAAAAAAUAUGGGCUAAGACAAACUGUGCAGAAGGGUCCGGGUUUCGCAUUUUGCAAACACUUCCCCUUGCUGUCCAUUCAUUUGUUCAUCGACAGCAACGUUGUCAGAAUGCCUAGCAUAUGCCCGGUCCUGUGCUGCAUCCCGGGAGAUACAGCAAUGCGUAGGACACACGUGUUGCCCCAAUAAGUACAUAAUCUAAUUUAGGCAGCAAACAUGUAGCAACGGCCACAAGAAGACAACUAAUAGUUGAUGCUUGAGGAGCACCUCCCACAUGCCAGCCAGGUGCCAGGUAAUUUACACGCUUCUUACCCCGUUCCCACAACAACCCCGUGAAGCCGCAUGUUUGUCAGGGCUUCAGUUCUCUGUGGCUGUGUAACAGGCUACACCAGAACACCGGGGCUUAAGACAACAAUCCUUUCAUCAGCUCUCCAAAUUCUGUCAUCUGAACGGGGCUCAACUGAGAGGUUCUUCUGCUUUUGUCUGUGCUCCCUCCUGUGGCUGCAUCCGGCUGGCAGGGAGACGGGGACUGGGCUCAGCUAGGACACGGGGAAGCUGGGCUGCUAUCUCUCUGCGUGGUGUCUGGGCCUCUCCCUCCUCAUGUGGCAUCUCCACGUGGUCUCUCCAGCAGGGUGCCUGCACUUACAUGGCAGCUCAGGGCUCCCGAGAGCACAGAAGCUUUCAGGCUUCCUCAGGCUUAGGCCCAGAACUGGCACAGCAUCACUUCCAUCCGAUUCCACUAAUUACAUCAAACUGCAAGCCCUACCGGAAGUCAAGAGGAGGUGACAACACAAGGGCAUGAAUAGUAAAAAGAGUAGUUCAUCAGGAACCGUCAAUAUAAUCGACUAUCAUAGUCAGGAGUCUUUUUGCUGCAAGUGGGAUAAACUUGUGUCAUGCUGACUUAAGUUCUUAAAAAAGGGGUAUGUGUGUGGGGGGAGGAGGAUUUAUUGGCUUUUGUAACUGGAAGCCCAGAUGUGCAUCUGUCUUCAGGAAUGGCUGGAUCAAGGAGCUCAUAUGAUAUAAUCAAGGUUUCACCUUUCUCUCCAUUUCUCAGACAGAUUCUCUCUAUGUGGUGGCUAAGAUGGCUGCCCACUCCUUUAGGACUGCAUCCCACCUGCUUAGCAACCCCUGUGUGAAGAGACAAUCCCUUCCCAUUUUCUUACAGAGAGUUCCAAGCAGGUCUAGAAAAGGUUCAUUUGGGUUUACACACUCAUCUUUAGACCAAUCACUAUGACCAGGGGAUGGAGUUCUCUUAUGGGCCACGUCUGGAACACCCGCCCCCCACUGUCAGCCUAUCAAACCGCAUGGAAGGAAUUCCUGAUGCAAAAGUAGGUAGGAAGGAAGGAAGGGAGGAAGGAAAGGAGGAAGGGAGGAAGAAGGAUGAAGGGAGGAGGGAGGGGAAAAGCCAGUCUCUGUUACCAGAACGAGUUAUGGGAUGCUGGGCAGACAGGCGGUAUGAGCAUCUGCAUUUUACAAAUGAAGAAUCUGAUGCCCAAAACUAGCGGAGGGACUUGCCCAAGUUUCCAGAGCUAGGAGACGCCUCAGCCAAGCCAGGAACCUGGGUCCCGUAGAUGCCAAAGCUCUUGUUCUCAAUGGCCAAAUUAGACAACAGUGUUUGCCAACAAACAAUGACAAGACAGUGUGAAGUGGGCACGGAUGGAACGGGCCACGGUGCAGAGAGGAUGGGGCAGGGACGUUCACUGGCCAUGGUGGGGCGACGAGUCAGGGAGGACUUCCCAGAGGAGGCAAUGCUCGUGCCGGGUCCUUAGGGAGGGUCACUCCAGGACAAGGGAUCAGCAUGUUCAAAUGUGCCUCAGGAACCUGCAAGAUUUUGGAAGGGGGGAAAAAAAGUGGUUUCCAAGCUGAGGGCUAAGGAUCUCUGGAUCCAAGGAUUUAUUAUAGAAGUCUGAGAAUUUACCUCUGAAUCCAGCCUGGUUUAUAAACUGAAAAAAUAAUUUAUCACAUAGAACAACUUAUCAAAUUUAUUUAAAAGUAUUGCUGAAUUCAUGGUAGCUUUUUCUUGGUAGAUUUUUUUUCAAUCAGUAGCUACUAAAAAUAGAAUUAUUGUCAUGCUCGACUCAGGAAUUAUUUUGAUAUUAUAAAGGAGGCUUUAUACGAAAAAAGACUGAGAGACAUUGAUCUCAAAUGUAUGUUGCAAAGGGGCCACUUCUAAAAACAAGGCAGGGAAGGGCAGCGGAACCUGCCCAAGGGGUUUCACUGCCAUCCCACAGGCGAGAGGCCGCCCCUUUAAGCAGGGGAUGGUCGAUUCAGUGUGUGGAAGGUGGUUGGAGGGGCUGAUUCUGCAGGCAGAAGGGCAAAUCAGAGGCUGUUGCUGGUGAGCGGAGCCGGACUGUCGGGGUUCAGAUCCCAGCUCUGCCACUUACCUGCUGUGUGACUUUGGGCAAGAUACUUAACCUCUCUGAUGCCUUUGCAUUUCCAACUGUAAAAUGAGAAUGACGAUAGCUUUAGAGGACAAAUGAGUUCAAAAAUGCAAAGUAGCUGGACUUAAAUCCAGGUUUAGCACCAAGUAAGAAUAUUAUUACCUCUUAUAUGUGUAUGUGUCUAUAUGAACAUUUACUGUUACGCUCCAAGAAAGACACGGCAGUGGCCUGAACUGUACGCCAUAGGGACCUGGUGAAGAAACUCUUGGAGGUAUACACAUAUUUACACACAUCUACAAAGUUUCAUGUACCCCCCACUGUUCCAAACACCGUAUACAGUAUGGGUACUGUAGCCAGUUCGUACACACCUGGAGCAGAAACAUUGUCCUAGGUGUUUUGUUCGGUGAAUACCUGCUGGAGACGGACUGACUGAUUUCCCAUCAUGAGGAGAAAGGCUCCAGGAUCUGUCUUGUCUAAUGCAGAGAACGUUGACCCAGAGAAGAACCAAGAUGACACGUUUCUUCAACCCAGGGAGGACGGUCAGCCCGUGGACCCCUGAGGGAGCCUCAGAGGUGACAGGUGCGAUUUGAGCCGAGCUUGGGUCUCCUAUUUUCUCAGAGCUUGAGAGCCACGGAGAACGGGGAGCAGACCAACCAGGAGGGUGGCCGAGGGAGGGGCAACAAGUCUCCAGGGCAGGGUCAGCUCCUCGGACAUCUCCAUCCCCCCCAGCCCCUACUCAGCACUUCCAGGGCUCAGCGGGGACAGAGGCGUCCCCCUACUGUCUUCUAGCUCACAGGCUUCCCUCAGUGGGAAGGUGGACAACAUGCCUCCCCCAUUUUCCAGAUAAGGAAACUGAGGCCUGGAGAGGUGAGUGAUUGCGCCGCGUGUAAGAAAGAAGCAUGAGGAACAGCAGGGACUGGAUGCCUGUGAAGCGGGCCCCGUGCCAGGGACCUCCCCUAGCAUCUCAGACAGGAAGCUGCUGAAGUGGGCGGAUUGUGCCCAUUCGACAGAAGGAGAAGCCGAGCUCCAGCGGCUGGAGCAUUUCCGGGAGUUCCGAGCUGGUCUCGAAUUUGCAGUGUGUUUCCUUCCAUCACGGUGAGGCCCGAGGGAAGUGAGAGGAGGGAAGUGAGGGAUCAGCUCACGAUUUUGGGCUCAUCCUGGUGACAUUUCUUUAUCGCUUGUGCAUGUAACACUUUAAUUUCACUCCCACCCUAGAAUUUGGAUUCUUCAGGGAGCUGCUUGCUCUGGCCUCCUCAGCCCGGAGAGGGGAACCCCAUGUCCCCCACCUUGUUCCAAGGUUGCACAACCAGGGGACUCAACUAUCACCUGGCCCCUGAGAAUGAUCCUGGUCACGCUCCUCACCCCUCCCUCUCACCCUCCAAAAGCCGAGGGGUCGUGGCCCACACCUGUGGUCCGACUGAAUCCAAGGGCGGGCACCACUUCCUGCGUCUGGCCUCGCCUGCCCCUUGCAAGCUCCCCUCCGCCUACAAGACCAGGCACCAGCCAUGCCAACAGGAAUGGAACUUCCUGCUUGUCUGCAAAUCAUUUUAAGAACCUGGGUAGGAAUUUGGAGUCCUUGAAAGCUCACUUACUGAAGAAUCUGCUCAGGACCCAGCUGGUAUAUUUCUAUUUCUGUUGCGUGACAUUAUUCUCCCAUAGAGCACGUACGUUACACAAGCAAGAAGUCGCGGUGGGGUGCUCCGCGUAUCCACAGUGAUUGAGAGCUUCCUGUGACCCCCCUCUCUGCAUCAGGUCAGCCCACCAGGGCCUUCAUUUCACCCUCGCAACACUCCAGGGAAAUAGUCUCCAGAGUCUCAACUUACAGAAGCGCAAGUGGAGGCUCAGAGAGGGCGAGUCUCGGGCCGCAUCACACGGCUAGAGGUAGGAGUCAGCCUAAAUAUCCUCUCCUGUCCACACACAACAGCACGCGUCGCUGUCCCCAAACACUCACCCCCCACUCACCUCCUCGCUGCCUCAGCUCCCCCAGCUCGCCCCUCCCGUGCCACUGCCACCCUCCCUCUGGACACCAGGCUGCCCCAUCGGUGAGGCAUUCUGCCCAGUUUGUUGUCCAAAUGGUCAGCAAGAUGGUUUGAAAAUAUUCAGAAAGGGCUGAAACUACGGAAAAACAGGCAGCAAUCUAAUAAUCCUAACAACGAGGAGGAGGCGGAGCUAAGCAUCUCGCAGGCAAUGAGAUUAUACAACCAAGGCUCCUUGGCGCAGCCCCAUAAGGAAAACAUUAUCUUCAUUCUCUACACCUGAAACUGAUGUUCCUGAAGGCUAAGCAACUUGUCCCAAGGUCGCAGAGCUAAUAAGUUGGCUGAGCCAGGUUUUGAACCCAGGCCAAUGUGGCACCAAGAUCUACAACGUAGUUUCCUCCCCACUCUGCCUCCACAGGGUCCCUGACCUCAGGGGUACAUGGACAGGGUGGGGUGCAGACAGGUGCAUGGGUCACUGCUCACAGGAAUGGUCACAGCAAACACAGGGAGCAUGCAAGUGCAUGUAACCGGGGGGGAAGGAAUCAAGGAGGGCUUCUCGAAAGAGGUGAUGCCUGAGCUAAGCCCUGAGGGAUGAGCGGCCGGUGUCAAGGGCCUGCAGAGGGGAGAAGGCAAGAAAACAUCCAGAGAAGGGAGCAUGCUGUCACCUGCAGCCACAUACAAGCCACUGUCACAGCGGUCUCUGAAGUCCUCAGGGCAACCAAAGGCCAGGUCUCCUUGGAGUGUGACAUGACGCACACAACUCUGUCAGUAAAAACGACCGUCAUUUGAUAUUUUGUCAUCUAUAGGACACACUAAGAAUCUGGUGGAAAAACACGUUUUCAACUGAGGUGACAUUCACCUGACAGAAAGUUAACCAUUUUUGAAAGUGAACAAUUCAUUCCAUGCCUUCACCGUGUUAUGCGACCACCACCUCUAUCUAGUUCUGAAACAGUGUCAUCACCCCAUAAUAAAGGUCUGCAUCCAUUGACCAUUAUCCCCACUGCCCCCUCCGCCACCCCUGGCAACCACCAGCCCCAUUCCGUCCCUGUGGGUUUACCUGUUCUGGGAAUUUCACACAAAUGGAAUUUACACCGUGUGACCUUUUGUAUGUGGCUUCUUCACUUAGCAUCACGUUUUCAAGGUUUCACUUGAUAUUUUAGACCUUUUCCAGCUGAGGAGGAGGACGGAUCAGAGCUCAGACCACGGUCUGAAUACGACCCAGCCUCUUCUGCUCAUGCGGGGCCUCUCCCUCCCCACCCUGCUCUGCCCUUAGGUGUGUCCUGCCUCCUCAGGACCCAGGAGGCCAUCCACAGGCCCAGGGUGAGUUCUUGCUCUGCUGGUUCCGUCCUGUGGCUUAUGUCCUCUCUGAGCCUCAGGCUUCCCAUCUGUAAAAUGAGAUGGUUGACGUAACAGUGUAAACAUACUUAACACUCCUGAGCUGUACACUUUAAAAUGGUAGAUUUUGUUAUGCAUUUUUCUAUUGCAAUAAAAAAAAAAGGCAAUACAAGGAAAAGCCUAAAACAAGGGGACAGUUGAAUUGAUCAGUUGAUUGCUAAGGGCCCCCCAAUCUUAUAGAUCUAUAAGACAAGGACUCAUGACUGAAAGUCGGGGAUCGGGGGUAGGGGGAAGGCUGGCUGAGGAGACAGAAAGGAAAGGAGCAAGCCAGUUAAGAAAGAGAGAGAGAGAGAGAGAGAGAGGAGAGGGAGGAAGAGGGAGAUUGAGAGAAGGAGAGUGAGGGGGGAAAGGAGGGGGAGGAGGGGGAAAGGAGGGGGAGCAGGAGGACGGCCGUCCUGCAGUGCCAGCCGGUCCUUCGCUGCCUCGGUGCCCAUGUGUUUAUUUCCCGAUUCUCAGUCGUCGUCCUUCUUCAAACCUCAGUCCUGGCCUCCAGCAUGAUCUGUGGGUUAGUCUACAGUCCUGCAGCAGAUGGGAACCGUUGUGUUUUCAAACUGAUUCAGCCUCUGUGAUUGAAACAUUUUUUUCCAACAGUAAUUUGACCCGGAAUCAGGAUGAGAGCAAUAAAUAUUUGACAAGAGAAAAGCACAGUUCAGCCAUGUCCUUAAAGCCGUGUGACCGGGGGCUUGCACACCAGGCGCCAGCACCAAGCCUCCCCUCCCUGGCUGAAGAGACACCAAGAUGUACAGGGACCACACGCUCCAGCUUUGCCUCGCUUCCUUUCAAAUAUCCGGGUUCCUGUUCCUCUGAGCACCCUCCCUCAUCAGAACGGGAGCCGCAGUUUUGGGUCAGGAAGUGAGAGCCCUGGGGAUACGAGGCUUGAACCCCAAGGGAAGCCCACAGUUCCUGAAAGACUAAUUAUAUACCAGCCUUUGCCCCUAAAGUGCAGGUGGAUAAAUGGAUUUAGACAGCAUUGCAAGUAGCAAUCCGAGAACGUUUUGGAGGACAACCACUGUCCACACAGAACCCAAAAUAAAACAUCAGUUUGAUUUAUUCUCCUCGGAUGCCCUCCUGGAGAGAAGCUGGACACUGGAGUUGGCGCCUCAAACUCCCAGCUGAAAAGGCAGCUGGAAACACAGAGAGAACAAGCAGAGCUAUGGGGCCAUUGUUGAGGUAGUGAUGGAGGUAAAUGCAGGUGCUAGGAGGGGCAUGAGGUCAGGGGGAAGAAACCAAGGAGGGCUUCCAGUAAGCGGUGGCACCCGAGCUGAGUCACCAAGGGUGAUGGAGUGAGAAGGCCAGAGCCCCAGAAAUGCUAAUGGGGGUUGGACUGGGGCAGCAAUGGCUUAUUGGUGACUGCCCCUCUCCAUUGAGCCCCUCUAUUUUCCACUAUUCCUUUAAAGAGCAUAUGUCACUUUUUUUUUUUUUUUAAAGAUUUUAUUAUUUCCUUUUUCUCCCCAAAGCCCCCCGGUACAUACUUGUAUAUUCUUCGUUGUGGGUUCUUCUAGUUGUGGCAUGUGGGACGCUGCCUCAGCGUGGUCUGAUGAGCAGUGCCAUGUCCGCGCCCAGGAUUCGAACCAACGAAACACUGGGCUGCCUGCAGCAGAGCGCGCGAACUUAACCACUCGGCCACGGGGCCAGCCCCCAUAUGUCACUUUUUUAAUAAAAUUUUUUAAACAAAAGGAAAAGUAACCAUUUCAAAGGACUUGGAGAGUUUUCAUGAGAACGUGGUCCAGCGUCUGUGUCAUGAUCCUGGGAAGGGAGACCUUUACCUUCUCGCGCCCCCUCCAGCAGCCUCUUUCUGUCAUUGGUGUGGCCGUUUGCUGGGCCAGCCUCAACAAAGGACCAUGCUGGGGGGCUCAGACGACAGACAUUGAUUCUCUCACGGUUCUGGAGGCUGGGAGUCUGCGAUCAAGGUGUCUCAGGGUGGAUUCCAUCGGGGUCCUCUCUCCUGGGCUUGCAGACGGCCGUCUUCGCCCCGUGUCUUCACACGGUCUCCCUCUGUGUGUCUGUGUCCUGAUUUCCUCUUAUAAGGACACCAGGCACAUUGGGUUAAGGCCCACCCUGGUGACCUUAUGUCAUGUUAGCUACCUCUCUAUCACCCGUCUCUCCAAAUACAGUCACAUUCUGGGGUCCUGGGGGUCAGGUUUCAACAGAUGAAUUCUGGAGGUACACGUUCAGCCAUCCCACUGGGGUGCAGAAAAAUGAGUCAAGAUGACUCCUUUGUGCUCCCCCUUUGCUGUGAGAGGGUUCAGAGCAUUAGUACUCACCUGAUUUUGAUGCAAAGAUGCUGGGUGCCGGAGAGGACACAUGUGGAUUGUUAGAGCUCCUUGCCCACCUGGGAGGAAGUACCAGGCACUGGCUGGGAAUCCUGAAAAAUACAUGGAAAGUUAUCAGCUGCCCCUGCGGGCACACAUGCACACACACACACACACAUACACCACACACAGACACGCACACAUAUACACACAUCUUUCUCAACGAUCACUCUAACUCUUUGUUAUGGGAUGUGGGUUGUUAUGGUGAUGGGAGCACAGAGGGACUGAGGUAGAAGUGGACCGAGGGAGAGAUGAUAACGUGAGGAGGCUGUUGCCUUGAUAACCCAGGGUCGCCGUGUGCAUCUGAGCUGAGCCCAAACCUGGUGUCGCCUGCUCCCCUGAUGUCAGCAGGCAUCCGGGAGCCAAGAGUGUUCUUAGAGAUUCUGCAGACCGACCUCUCUCUGCUUCUCCAUGCACAUCCCCCAGCCAACCCAAGGAGGGAGAACCCCAGAGGCUGCCCGUUACCGAUUUCUACCAGGUCUUCUGAUUUCCACGGCCGUGAUCUUGGGGUGCCCUGCCCCGCUUUAUAACUCCACCCCACACAGGGACCAAACUCUCCGCUGGUCUCCUCUGAGCACCACAAGACGAGAUGGGGUUUUCAAGAGAAAGACACAACCCAGGCGGCCAGGGGCCACCAACACCUCGCUCUUCCAGCCUCACCUCAGUUCACCUUCCUGAGUCCCAGCCCCAUCAAGGGCCACACUGGGUCUGAGACCACUCUCAGCCCCUUCCCCUCCCACCUUCUCCACUCCUUCCCUUCUCUCUCCUAUCUGUAGCUCCUGACUCCCCAGCAAGGACACUGAGUCCUGGUCUUGGAGACCUUGCUGGGAAAGCCAGGGGUGGUCAGGGAUUGGCACUGCCUGGUUCUCCACGUGUCUAUCCUUAAAGCCCCUCUGGGGUCCUCUCAUUCCGUGGCAGGCCGGGAGCAAGGGUGAAUCCCUUGCAAUGAUAACCAGCCUGACUAUCAUUUGUGUAGGAUUUCGUAUCCUCCACAGCCCUUCCGCAGACAUGAUCUCACUAACUCUUCACCACAGCUUCCUCUUCAGUUCCAUCUCACCAAUGGAGAAACUGAAGCCCAGAGAGGUGAAGCGACUGGCUCAAGGUCACACAGUGGGUAACUGGCAGAGCCAGAGUGGGGACCCAGGGCUGUCCACCUACGUGCCCUGACCACCCUUAGGACCCUCUACCCCUUGGCCUCUCUCAGUGGUGAAAUUAUGCUUAAAUACAGGUGAGGGGCGGGAGGGGAAACCAGGCCACAGGCCCAAGAUCCGGCUCUCCGGAAUGGGGCCGAGAUUCCUUCGAGUGAAUACACGUCAUCUCACAGGUCUGGCCUCAGAACUAUCAUUAGACCGUGCAGAAUCCACGCGGCCUGCCAGGGCCCUGGACGUGAGGAGCCCUG